rnacentral:rRNA from 1 species
UACAGAGGGUGCGAGCGUUAUUCGGAAUUACUGGGCGUAAAGCGCACGUAGGCGGCUUGGUAUGUCGGGUGUGAAAUCCCCGGGCUCAACCUGGGAACUGCAUCCGAAACUGCCUUGCUCGAGUAUGGGAGAGGGAAGUGGAAUUUCCGGUGUAGCGGUGAAAUGCGUAGAUAUCGGAAGGAACAUCAGUGGCGAAGGCGACUUCCUGGACCAAUACUGACGCUCAGGUGCGAAAGCGUGGGGAGCAAACAGG